ensembl:lncRNA
CUCUUUCACACAGGUGUCUUUACAUGUCUGUCUCUUAGUCACAUGUCUGUCUCUUUCACACAUGUGUCUUUACGUGUCUGUCUCUUAGUGCAGUCUCUUUUAUACAGGUGUCUUUACAUGUCUGUCUCUUAGUUACAUGUCUGUCUCUUAGUUACAUGUCUGUCUCUUUUACACAGGUGUCUUUACAUGUCUGUCUCUUUUACACAGGUGUCUUUAAUGUCUGUCUCUUAGUUAGUGCAGUCUCUUUUACACAGGUGUCUUCACAUGUCUGUCUCAUUCUGUCUGCAUUAGAUUCACACAACUAAAUCCAAUGGGGGUGACGUAUUCAUUUACCAUCAAGCAGAACUGCAUUUCACAUGGCAUC